UCCCUGCACCUGCACCUGCACCUGCCCUGGCCAGGGUUUGCAGCUGGGGCCCUGAGGCUGCUGGUUGCUGCCUCUCCUGCUUCUCUGUCUCUUUGGCGGAUCUGGCUUUCUACCUCUCUCUCUCGAGCUCCUCUGCCUUUAU
rnacentral:miRNA from 1 species